UGGGGAAUAUUGGGCAAUGGAGGAAACUCUGACCCAGCAACGCCGCGUGAAUGAAGAAGGUCUUCGGAUUGUAAAGUUCUUUAAUGAGGGAAAAAGAAAGUGAUGGUACCUCAGGAAUAAGCCACGGCAAACUACGUGCCAGCAGCCGCGGUAAUACGUAGGUGGCAAGCGUUGUCCGGAAUGACUGGGCGUAAAGGGUGAGUAGGUGGUCUGUCAAGUUAGAAGUGAAAUGCCAAGGCUUAACCUUGGAACUACUUCUAAGACUGACGGACUUGAGUGCAGGAGAGGUAAAUGGAAUUCCUAGUGUAGCGGUGGAAUGCGUAGAUAUUAGGAGGAACACCAGAGGCGAAGGCGAUUUACUGGACUGUAACUGACACUGAGUCACGAAAGCGUGGGGAGCAAACA
rnacentral:rRNA from 1 species